UCUGUUCGGAGGUUGAAAGGGCUAGCAAACCAAAAUCGUUGUGUCCAGGUACAGUCUUUGAAUAUGUGUUCUUCUGUCUCUUCCUUUCUCCAAUAUCUUGGACAAAGUGAUGUGCUUGUGAUACCUCUUUUUUGAAUGUUGAUUCUAGUUGGCAGGGAUGAUGUUAGCAGUCUCCAUGUGAAAUUAAGAGUGCGGUUCAGUGCUUUUGUGUUCCAAAGAAGUUUCCAAGGGAAUUUGUUCUGGUGCUCCUGGUUGCUGGACUGAGCAUGGUUUUGUGGCUGAGAGCGGAUGAGGUGGAAUGUUGGAACAACAGCACUGAGGCGACACUGUUCUGCACUGUGGCGCUGGA